rnacentral:rRNA from 1 species
UAGGGAGCGAGCGUUGUCCGGAAUUACUGGGUGUAAAGGGUGCGUAGGCGGGAUGGCAAGUCAGACGUGAAAUACCGGGGCUCAACUCCGGGGCUGCGUUUGAAACUGUCGUUCUUGAGUGAAGUAGAGGCAGGCGGAAUUCCUAGUGUAGCGGUGAAAUGCGUAGAUAUUAGGAGGAACACCAGUGGCGAAGGCGGCCUGCUGGGCUUUAACUGACGCUGAGGCACGAAAGCAUGGGGAGCAAA